UGCUUCACUCGCACAGCUUGAAGGCGUUAACUUUAGGCGAGUAGGGUCUCGACAUCCAAACGUUUAGUUUCGGUGGCUACGUGCUUCUGUGGUCAAAAACUAUUCCGAUGCGGCGACUGGACAUGGGGGAAGUUCUCCACCCAGUGUAAUUAUCAACAUCGGGUGGGUGAGGCCUGUGGGCUGAUUGUUCAAGAGCUGUGCGCACUCUGCAUCACAAUUGCGACUAAAUGCCGAAGGAGGGACUUUGGACUUCAACGUUUAGCACGGUGGUACAGCAAUGGCGGCAGGAUGAAAGCAUCUAUAGAAAAAUCUGAAGCCACGGUUAGGCAUCUAGAGGAAGCGAUUCUGAACUUGGAAAGGAUAAGGUCUUUGAAGCCAAACCACUACGACUACACAGACUACGAAAGGUCAUUCUUGUCAGUUAAUGGGGUUUGGUCUCAUUGUGCUAAGAAGCACUGAGCUUCCUUACACUUCUUAUCACAAGCUCGAUGUAUACUUUACCACCUUGAAGCCUCAGCACAACUUGGCGCUUUUCUCUUGCCCUGUUCCAUUGC
rnacentral:sRNA from 1 species